rnacentral:ncRNA from 1 species
AGAAGGGCAUGGCCGGGUAAGGUAGAAAUAUUUUACUUUCUUUUCACUGUAUGCUGGAAACCCUUUAGAGCCUUUAAAACUAGUACCGCGGUCUAUAGAUUAGCAGUGGAAUACAGUAACAUUUUAAAGGAUUAGGCAAUCAGCAGGAAACCAAAGAUAAAAAGUUUUAUUUUUAUUAAGUAGGUUCCUCAGAGACUACACGUGAAAUAUCUUAAUAUGUCUUAAAUAUACAUAAAGAUAAAGAUAUAGUCCGUCCCUUUUCGAAAGUUUAGG